AGAACCGGAGUAACAUUGAAAACCCCUUUUUGGAGUUGCAUAAGCAGAGCAACGCAGUCGCUUUUUUGGCGUUUUUUCUUCUUCUUUUAGACAAACCUUAAUCGUCGAAGAUGCCAAAGUCCAAGCAGAACAAAAUAGCAAAGUGAGAGUUCCAAAGAGUAUGUUGUUUACUUGGUCGAUGCUUCUCCGAAAAUGUUCAACACGACAUGUCCUGGUAAUGACCAAAAGGAUGAAACUCAUUUCCACGCCGCUGUCAGCUGUAUUGCUGGAUCACUCAAGACUCAAAUCAUUAGUAGAUCGUAUGAUGAAGUUGCAAUUUGCUUCUUUAACACUGUAAGUUUUCAAAUAAAAAGCAUUUUCAUUUGUAUAUCUCAAUUUGGUUUUGCCACAAUCACACAUGGAAUCAAAAGAAUAGGUAGGAAUGCACAUAGAACACCAAGUAGCUGCCUUUGUUGGUCAAUAGUUUCCAUCAAUGUGGGAUAACUACUCCUAGUUUGCUAUAUUUUCUAUACCAACGUCAACUAGUAAAUUGGGUUUACUAGCAAAAUAUACCACAUCUAUUUGCAGGGAUUGGACUUAUUUUCUAUAUGUUUAUUAAAGGACUUGUCUAUUUGCGGAGAUUGUACUUAUUUUCUGUGUGUUUAUUCCGACCAGUUGACAUUGGUAAAACUUGGACAAGUUUCCAUCAAAUAGAUGAGUCCUUGGAAUCUCAAUUGACCUUCUCCCUUUGAGUCAUCCAGAUUCAGAGUUCAAUGUUUCUACCUUCUAUGCUGUAUGUUUAUUCAUUCAUGUUGUGUUUUCUUGUGUUUAUUCAUUAUCAUGCACUGGUAUAGAUGCGUGUUGGUCAGUGGUCACAUGUUAUGGAAUUGAAUUAGAUUGUACUGACUGUAACAAUAUAUACUUAUCAUGUUCAAAAAAGCACAACACGUAGUAUAACGAGCUUUUGUUGUUGGAUGCUAAUUAGGAGUCCACUCUUCUUUCUUAUGACACAAGAGUUGGCUACUUUCUGCUUAUAUCUGAUUCACUUUUCUAA